rnacentral:misc_RNA from 1 species
CGCACAUUGCGCCCCUUGGUAUUCCAUGGGGCAUGCCUGUUCGAGCGUCAUCUACACCCUCAAGCUCUGCUUGGUGUUGGGCGUCUGUCCCGCCUCUGCGCGUGGACUCGCCCCAAAUUCAUUGGCAGCGGUCUUUGCCUCCUCUCGCGCAGCACAUUGCGCUUCUUGAGUUUGCAGGUCGCGUCCACGAAGCAACAUUACCGUCUUUGACCUCGGAUCAGGUAGGGAUACCCGCUGAACUUAA